UGCAGAGGGCUAUACACAAAGAAAAGUUUAAAAUGAACUUAAAAGAGCGCUUUCUUCUUCCCUAGGAAUAAAGAUGAAAUUGUCCUCUAGUUCACCUUGGAGAAAAUGCAUCUUGAUUUUUCAGUCUGGCUUUUGCUAAACGAUGGGAACGCCCACUUGCUACACUGUUGUCUCCGGUAACCAGUAACCCUGCCCAGAACACUGGCUGAAGAUAAACAUAAUGGAGGCGGCACGGAGACAGGAUAUUUCCUGGUGGAAUUCCAGGCUUGCCCUGUGUGCAACGCAAAUCCUGUGCUCAGCUGGCAAGGUUGCGAAGGUCUUUCUUCCAUGCCAGGUUGGUCUGAUAAUCCAUGCCAUGUUUUGACAUACUUUGUGUAUUACAACUCAUACACUUUUGCUUCUAUGGCAACUGAUAGCUUUGUAAACUGGCUUUUGAGGCCCUAGGGAAAGAAAUACAUUGGCAGAGUGCUUAGGGUUUCAUUUUUCUGUAAAACAGAAAAAGCAAGAUACUCUGGGGCUGGCUCUGAUGAUCGGACAAGAGAUUAUGUAAUUACCCUCGACGUGCAGCUUCUACGGAGCCAAGAAAUGGCUUUAACUCUUCAGAAGGCCCAUGUUGACUUCAAACAACUUCAAAUGCAAAGUUGGAUGAGAGGAUGGCCAGCUCCAUUCACUGCCCAGGGGCGGUGAAUGACCCAGGGGCGGCUGCUUCACAGCUGCAGACCGGAGCAUCUGGACAGAUGGCAGAUAGCUCAGAGUGGACACAUCCGGCCCGUCCACCACAGAGAAUCUGUGACCUUUGAGAUGGAGUUCGUGUUCGGAUCAGAGUUGGGCUUUUGGAAGAGGAAAGGAAAACUGAAGCGGAAGGAAUGGAGCUUGCAGUCCUAUGGCCUCGUUCUGAGGGAGGAGGCCGGAAGUCAGUAGCAGCAACUGGACUCCACGCCCAGCUGUCAGUCACUGCUGAUCUUUGCUGACAGGCUUUGCAGAGCUCCAAUGAAAAGCUCCAUCUUCAGAUCUCAGUUUUGCCGAAACUCACAACCCCACAGAGAAUUCAGGAGCACUUAUGGAGCACCUGGCACACAGUGUGUCCUAGAUGAGCGUGACACCAGUGCUCUCCGCCUAAAUGAUGCAAGCAUGUACUUUGCCACUCUGUGUUUGUGAGAGAGAACUGUGCUCCUAUUUGAGGCUGCGAGUUCCUUUCUCUCUCUCUCGCUCUCCGUCUUUCUGCAGCUCUGUUUCAUUGUAUUUAAAACAUAGUUUAGAGAAGAUUUGAAGAAACACAUAGGCACUUAGAACAAAGGUAUGAAAUGACAAGGAAUAAUUGUGUAGUUUCCGAAAUAUUUAAAAUAGAACUUGUGUUUUUAAAGUAUAAUCCCACAGCAUGAGAAUCAUGACACCUGAAAUUCAGAAGGAACCCUUUCUAGUUCACAGAGGAGCAGAGAGGGCCGUUGUGUGCUGCAGGGAGGGCACAGGUGAGCCGCAGGGACCCCUAGACCCAGCCAUGCUGGGGCGGGCUGGCAGGAGGACCCUGAGGCCUCUGGCAUGGGUGGCCUCGGCUUCAGCGUGGGGAGGAGCUGCCCCAUGGGGCCUCUGUGGUGCAGGAACUCAGCAGAAGCCUCCAGGUUCUGAAGUAAGUCCCCGCUGGAGCAGUCUCUGCUUUAAAGUUCUCACUUUUGUCAGUCCACGUCUGCAGUACACAGGAUCACAUUCCUCGUGGGAAGUGGCUCGUGCACGUAAUACUCAUCGUUCUUUCUAGUCCCCUCUGCCUCCCUCUGCUCUCCUUCCCAUGACACCCCAGAAAUAAGCAGUGGGGACUCAGGGCACCCGCCUGGAGGGAAGGCUUGGUGAGCCCUGGGCACCGUUCUCCCCGACUCUGGACAGCAGGGCUGGCCUCGGCUGACCUGUGUGCUCCUGUUUCUCCCUGGGACGUCCUGGCCAUGGAGGCCACUGCCCGGGGGACAGGCCUGAGAGGGUGAGCCCUGCUGUGGGCCGUCCUGGGGCUCCCAGUGGCUCCUGGGCCUCAGGGUCCACCCCACCAGAGAUCCGACGGCCAGGCUGCCCCACAUUGGGGUGCCAGUGUCCUGCUUUCUCAUUGGCAGGUGCAGGAUCUGGGGUACUGAGGAGGCCGGGCGGGGUGUGGCUGUCAGGGUACUUCACCCGUCCCAGGAAACAGAGGCCUCUGUCACCGUGUCCCUGGGUGGCGCCAGGUGGGCAGUACCCCGUGAGGAGCAGAGUGCCCACUCCCACUGCUGCCUGAGCACCUAGGCAGGAAGAACGCACCAGGGUGAAUUCGAGGAGAUGCCCGUCCAGGGGAGCUGCUUAGGAGCCGGGGAGGGCGGGUAAGAAAUGGUGGCUCUCGAGGGCAGCCAGUCUGGGCACGCGGAGGGCCAGGGACGCCCAGUGCUGAUGGCUGGCACCGCCUGUGCUCUCUCCUCUGCCGCCCGCGUCCUGGAGCCCUGCAGCUGUCCUCGCCCGCACACGUGGAAGGAGGCCCCGUGCCUCACUCUGCUCAGGCUUCCGGACGGAGGCCCUGGUUCUGCGGGCUGUGACUCGGCUCUGUCCACUGGGCCCUCACUCGGCCGACGCUCUGGUGGCUCCUGGGUCCCCUGGGUGGGGGUGUGCUGUCUGUCCUCCUCCCGGGGAAGGCUUCCCCUCCCCUCCCAGAACUGCUCCUGGGGACCAGGCCCUCAGUGCAUGGCGCUGGCUCGGCCAUCCUAACGCGGCAGCCGAGAGACCCUGCCCCACCACUCGAGCCCUGAGCCUGGGCCUCCCCCCGCUGUCUGCUCUCUGGGCCUGCAGCUGUUGAAGGCUUUGGCACAGUGGGCCAGGCCUGGAAGGCCCUCAGAACACCAGGCCUCAGCACUGGUGCAGUACAUGCCCUACUCCUCGGCACAUAGCACUGCAUGGUCUUGCUGAGCCCUGAGCAUUUGGGGUAAGGAUGAGAUCGUAUUCAAAGCAAGUAAUUUGCUAGUAAGUGUAACUAUGGACUUUGUUUUAUUUAGUGUUUCUAGAACUUAUUUGAAUGUAGAUGAUUUUUCUUCUCACAAAAUCCCUGUGUAAUUUGGAAGAUGAUGCAAAAUAAAAAGUGAAGUACACAACACCUUAUCACCUGUGCGUGUACAAGGAAAGAAACUGUACAUCUGUCUGCACCCAGGAGUGAGCCCGGGAGUGCACGAGACAUGUGCCAAGACUCGUGCACCCGCUAGGUGGGCAGAGAGUCAGCAGUGCUCUGACGCGUGCCCAGGAAGGGUGGGU